rnacentral:rRNA from 1 species
CCUACGGGAGGCAGCAGUGAGGAAUAUUGGUCAAUGGGCUUACGCCUGAACCAGCCAAGUCGCGUGAGGGAAGACUGCCCUAUGGGUUGUAAACCUCUUUUGUCAGGGAGCAAUUGGCGCUACGUGUAGCGUUAUCGAGAGUACCUGAAGAAAAAGCAUCGGCUAACUCCGUGCCAGCAGCCGCGGUAAUACGGAGGAUGCGAGCGGUAUCCGGAUUGAUUGGGUUUAAAGGGUGCGUAGGCGGAAUGCCAAGUCAGCGGUAAAAUCGCGGGGCUCAACCUCGCUCCGCCGUUGAAACUGGCGUUCUUGAGUGGGCGAGAAGUAUGCGGAAUGCGUGGUGUAGCGGUGAAAUGCAUAGAUAUCACGCAGAACUCCGAUUGCGAAGGCAGCAUACCGGCGCCCAACUGACGCUGAAGCACGAAAGCGUGGGUAUCGAACAGGAUUAGAUACCCUGGUAGUC